CGGGCAUAGAUCACAUUAAUUCCUUUCUCUACUUCUUCGAUCUGUGAGUUUGAUUCUUCAUCAAGCAUUUGCAGUUUCGAUGAGGAAGGAUUUUUACAUUCGUUUUCUCUUUUUCUUUUUCUAAAUCUCUUCUUCUUCAAGGCCGAUCCAAUGGGUUCUCGGACGUGUAAAUCGAAUACUCGAGGACUCAAUUUCACCCGGCCGAGAUUUGCUUUGGG
rnacentral:misc_RNA from 1 species